rnacentral:rRNA from 1 species
UUUGUACCCCGGCGGAACUUAAGCAUAUCAAUAAGCGGAGGAAAAGAAACCAACAGGGAUUGCCCUAGUAACGGCGAGUGAAGCGGCAACAGCUCAAAUUUGAAAUCUGGCUCUUUCAGGGUCCGAGUUGUAAUUUGCAGAGGGUGCUUUGGUGUUGGCGGCGGUCUAAGUUCCUUGGAACAGGACAUCGCAGAGGGUGAGAAUCCCGUAUGUGGUCGCCUGCCUUCGCCGUGUAAAGCCCCUUCGACGAGUCGAGUUGUUUGGGAAUGCAGCUCUAAAUGGGAGGUAAAUUUCUUCUAAAGCUAAAUACCGGCCAGAGACCGAUAGCGCACAAGUAGAGUGAUCGAAAGAUGAAAAGCACUUUGGAAAGAGAGUCAAACAGCACGUGAAAUUGUUAAAAGGGAAGCGCUUGCAGCCAGACUUGCCUGUAGUUGUUCGCCUGGGCUUUUGCCCGGGUUACUCUUCUGCAGGCAGGCCAGCAUCAGUUUGGGCGGUCGGAUAAAGGUCCCUGACACGUAUCUCCCUUCGGGGUUAACAUAUAGGGGGGACGUAAUGCGACCAGCCCGGACUGAGGUCCGCGCAUCUGCUAGGAUGCUGGCGUAAUGGCUGUAAGCGGCCCGUCUUGAAACACGGACCAAGGAGUCUAACAUCUAUGCGAGUGUUUGGGUGUCAAGCCCGAGCGCGUAAUGAAAGUGAACGGAGGUGGGAACCCCUCGGGGCGCACCAUCGACCGAUCCUGAUGUCUUCGGAUGGAUUUGAGUAAGAGCAUAGCUGUUGGGACCCGAAAGAUGGUGAACUAUGCUUGAAUAGGGUGAAGCCAGAGGAAACUCUGGUGGAGGCUCGCAGCGGUUCUGACGUGCAAAUCGAUCGUCAAAUUUGGGCAUAGGGGCGAAAGACUAAUCGAACUAUCUAGUAGCUGGUUCCUGCGAGGAUUUUCU